GAAACCUGUGGUGAAAGCACCAAAUGGAUGGGAAAAUAAAGGACUAUUGGACUUCAAAUAAAGGGCUUGAUCAUUGCUCUUUUGGGCUUAGAAAUACUUAUCUAUAACUAAUAGAAGAGAAUUUCUUCAUGCAUCCUGUUUUUUCUCCUGCACCCCUAACUUCGAAAAUCCUCCUUUUGCCCUCACUCAAAUUAAAAAUCCUACUCACUUUCUCUCCUAUCUUUCCCUUUCCUUUCCCCAGUCGUCACACUGAAUCCAUGUCUACAGCUCUCCUUUGUUAUUAUCAGCACACAAGACAUCUUCC
rnacentral:lncRNA from 1 species